CAAUAGCGUAUAUUUAAGUUGCUGCAGUUAAAAAGCUCGUAGUUGGAUUUCGGGUGGGAAUGGCCGGUCCGCCGUUUCGGUGUGCACUUGCUACGCCCACCUUGCUGCCGGGGACGUGCUCUUGAGUUCACGCUCGGGACACGGAGUCGGCGAGGUUACUUUGAGGAAAUUAGAGUGUUCAAAGCGGGCUUACGCUUGAAUAUAUUAGCAUGGAAUAACACCAUAGGACUCCUGUCCUAUUUCGUUGGUCUCGGGACGGGAGUAAUGAUUAAGAGGAACAGUUGGGGGCAUUCGUAUUUCAUUGUCAGAGGUGAAAUUCUUGGAUUUAUGAAAGACGAACUUCUGCGAAAGCAUUUGCCAAGGAUGUUUUCAUUGA
rnacentral:rRNA from 1 species